UACACCGUGGCCUAGUGGCUAGUGGUCGCGUUUUGGAAUUUGGGGUCGCGGGUUCAAUCCCCGCGGGGGUCA